rnacentral:rRNA from 1 species
UACGAAGGGGGCUAGCGUUGCUCGGAAUUACUGGGCGUAAAGCGUCUGUAGGUGGCUUUUUAAGUCCGCCGUCAAAUCCCAGGGCUCAACUCUGGACAGGCGGUGGAAACUACCAAGCUGGAGUACGGUAGGGGCAGAGGGAAUUUCCGGUGGAGCGGUGAAAUGCGUAGAGAUCGGAAAGAACACCAACGGCGAAGGCACUCUGCUGGGCCGACACUGACACUGAGAGACGAAAGCUAGGGGAGCGAAUGGG